AUGAACUAUACGGUCCGUGGAAUUCUCUAGGCCAGAAUACUGGAGUGGGUAGCCUUUCCCUUCUCCAGGGGAUCUUCCCAACCCAGGGAUCAAACCCAGGUCCCCCGCAUUGCAGGUGGAUUCUUUACCAACUGAGCUAUAAGGGAAGCCACAAAUAUUUGUUUUCUACUUCACUAAUUAUGGAUGUUAUCUGUGGUAUUUCCUUCUGCUUUCUUUAAUUUUAUGUACUUGUACAUCUUAAUUUUUAUCUAAUUAAUUUUCAAGUUGUGUUAUUUUCUAUAAGUUUUCAAGGACUCACUUCCCUAUAUUCUCCACAUUUUUCUGUUUAAAAGUAUUUAUUACUUAGUUCUAAGAAUAUUUAAAUUACCUUUAUGACUUUUUGGAUUUGUGAUUUAGAAAGUUUUCUAAAUUUCCAAAAUCUAGCUAUUUAAAAUUUUAUCUUUUUGAUACUAAUUUUCAGUUUGAUCAUUUGUGCUCAGGAAAUGUGGUCUCUGUGAUAGCAGUUCUUUGAAGUUUGUCAGGAUUGUUAUUUUUAUAUUCUGGGGCUUCCCAGGUGGCUCAGUAGUAAAGAAUCUGCCUGCCAAUGCAGGAGAUGCAGGUUCGAUCCCUCGGUUAGGAAGAUCUCCUGGUGAAGAAAAUGGCAACCCACUCCAGUAUUCUUGCCUGGAAAUUCCCAUGGACAGAGGAGUCUGGCAGGCUACAGUCCAUGGGUUCACAAAGAGUCAGACUCAACUUAGUAACUGAACAACAAUUUUAUAUUCUGUAACUUACCUUGGAUAUCUACCUGUUCUGUUGAUUUCUGCUGAUUUUCCCAUAGCAGCUUGUUCCCUGGUAUAUUUUGUAUUUUUGGAUUUUGAGCUCCUAUUUUGUUAAUCUAAGGAAAUCCAGUGGGCCUAAAUUGGGGGUACUUUCCUCUAGAGAGAAUUUGCACUUGUUUCUGCCAGGUGACAAAGGGUGCUCCUUACCUGGGACUGUGUUAACCUUUCAGGAGUCCUGAUUUAACUCAGGAGUCCCAGAUUUUCUCCCCUGCUUUGGCUGGGCCCAGGGUUUAGCCUCUGUUAAUGAUACUGAUACUAGCAUUUGUCCCCAGAGCAAACCUGCUUCUUCUGCUGCAUGUUACUCAUUCUGCAUAAGGAUUCAGCUCAAUGUUAUUUUUUCCCCUUCCUUCAGUGAUCUCUUCUACUUUCUGAUGAGCGUGACAAACAUGUUUACUGUAAUUUAUCCAGGAUCCAGUGGUAUUCUGUGAGAGAGCCCUUUCUCUCCUCCAUGCUGCCAGAAGUAGAAGUCCAUUACUGUAGUUUGGCAUUUUCCUUCUUGUUAAGAGCUCUGCACUUGUUGGAAGCUAGCUGACUUAGCACUAUCCUUAAGUCAAUAAUGAUUUCAGCACAGUGUGAGUUAUGUUAGCAGUAAGCACAGAGAGUGGUGGGAGCCCAGAGAAAUAGACAGGGAUCAGAAAUGACUUGCUAGUAGAGGUGAGUAGGACAAGGCCAACUCAUAAAGUAAGGACAGAACAACAGAAGACAUGAUACAAAGAACUGAAUCAUGAUACCCAUUCUGCUGCCUAAGAGCUGUAAAUUCAAAGAGAUUGAGUAAUUUGGGAAGGCUUCUUGGAAAAGGUAGCCUUGAGUUAAGCCUUUAAGUAGAGCUUAAGUAGAUUAAAAAAAAAAAAAGUCAUUCCAGGAAAAGCAGGAGUUUGAGGAUGUGGGAUGUGAGUAAGGACAUGGCAGUCUAACCCAGUAAAAAGACCUGUUCGGCAGAAAGGUUAUGUAUGAACAAGAGAGAGAAAUCAACUGGAAGAAAAACACACAACAGUUGAAUGAAUGGGUAAAAGUUAUCCAGUGAUGGAAUUGAAAGUAAUCCAUUGAUUGAAUGAAUGAAAGAUACGAAGUUUGCAUUAGAGGAUGGAGGAACUGAAGUAAAAAAGAACCCUCCAGACAGCUGUUGCCAUUGUCCAUGUGGGAGGAGAUGAGGGACUGGACCAGGUUGCUAACAAGUUGGAGGUGAUAGGCAUACGGAAAAGUAAACCACUGGUGAUACGAUAGAAGCUUCCAAGGGAACAGUGCCCUCACCACGAUUGGGUUUGGGGAUAUAUCCAUUCACUUUAGGAGACCAGACCACUGGGUGAUUUUAAGAUUUACAUGAAUGUUAUAGGGGUUUUAAGUAGCCUAUUUUAUAUUUUUACCCUAAUAUUUUAAAAAUCUAACAUGAAACAAGUUAUUCUUCUCUUGGUCAGGAAGUCUUCAGUUGGUUAGAUGAAGGGCUAAACGAAGGUUUUGGGGACUGCCUACUGCUUCCUCUCUACUAUUCCUUAUUCUCUCCCCAAUACCCUGUUCCCCAGUCCCAUUGUUGUCUUUUUUCAUUUUAGCCUUAGCAUAAAGUAAGUCAGAAAUAAAAAUUUGUUACUUACUAAAACUUGAAAUAAUCUUUUGCUGUUAAACCAAGGUAAACUCUAUGUCUAGUCUGUGGC
ensembl:lncRNA